GACGAACGCUGGCGGCGUGCUUAACACAUGCAAGUCGAGCGGUAAGGCCCUUUCGGGGGUACGACGAGCGGCGAACGGGUGAGUAACACGUGGGUGACCUGCCCUCAGCUCUGGGAUAAGCCUGGGAAACCGGGUCUAAUACCGGAUAUGACUCCAUGACGCAUGUUGUGGGGUGGAAAGCCUUGUGCGGCUGAGGAUGGGCCCGCGGCCUAUCAGCUUGUUGGUGGGGUGAUGGCCUACCAAGGCGACGACGGGUAGCCGGCCUGAGAGGGCGACCGGCCACACUGGGACUGAGACACGGCCCAGACUCCUACGGGAGGCAGCAGUGGGGAAUCUUGCGCAAUGGGCGAAAGCCUGACGCAGCGACG
rnacentral:rRNA from 1 species